rnacentral:rRNA from 1 species
UACGGGGGGGGCAAGCGUUGUUCGGAAUUACUGGGCGUAAAGGGUUCGUAGGUGGCCGGCUAAGUCAGACGUGAAAUCCCUCAGCUCAACUGGGGAACUGCGUCUGAGACUGGUCGGCUUGAGUGCAGGAGAGGAACGCGGAAUUCCAGGUGUAGCGGUGAAAUGCGUAGAUAUCUGGAGGAACACCGGUGGCGAAGGCGGCGUUCUGGACUGUUACUGACACUGAGGAACGAAAGCCAGGGGAGCAAACGGG